AUUGAACGCUGGCGGCGGGCUUAACACAUGCAAGUCGAACGAGUGGCGGACGGGCGAGUAAUGCUGGGGAAUCUGGCUUAUGGAGGGGGAUAACUGCGGGAAACUGUAGCUAAUACCGCUUACCAUAGGAUGAGCCCAAGUGGGAUUAGGUAGUUGGUGAGGUAAAGGCUCACCAAGCCGACGAUGUCUAGCUGGCCUGAGAGGCUGACCGGCCACACUGGGACUGAGACACGGCCCAGACUCCUACGGGAGGCAGCAGUGGGGAAUUUUGGGCAAUGGACGCAAGUCUGACCGAGCAACGCCGCGUGAGUGAAGAAGGUCUUCGGAUUGUAAAACUCUGUUGUUAGAGAAGCGGUAUCUACACAAGAAGCAACGGCUAACUACGUGCCAGCAGCCGCGGUAAUAC
rnacentral:rRNA from 1 species